CCGGAACUCCUGGAAAAGCACAUCACCGCGGCGGAGAUCGACACAUUCGUCAGCCUGGUGCGAAAGAACAGGGAGCCCAGGUUCCUGGAUUACCUCUCCGACCUCUGUGUGUCCAUGAACAAGUCCAUCCCGGUGACUCAGGAGCUCAUUUGUAAAGCUGUGCUGAAUCCCACCAAUGCUGACAUCCUGAUUGAGACCAAGUUGGUUCUUUCUCGCUUUGAGUUUGAAGGCGUUGCCACUGGAGAGAAUGCUCUGGAAGCUGGAGAGGACGAGGAAGAGGUGUGGCUGUUC